CACGUAGGGGGCAAGCGUUGUCCGGAUUUAUUGGGCGUAAAGAGCUCGUAGGCGGCUCAGUAAGUCAGGUGUGAAACCUCCAGGCUCAACCUGGAGACGCCACCUGAUACUGCUGUGGCUAGAGUCCGGUAGGGGAGCGUGGAAUUCCUGGUGUAGCGGUGAAAUGCGCAGAUAUCAGGAGGAACACCAGCGGCGAAGGCGGCGCUCUGGGCCGGAACUGACGCUGAUGCACGAAAGCUAGGGGAGCAAACAGG
rnacentral:rRNA from 1 species